GGUAGGGUGGCCGAGUGGUUAAUGGCAACGGUCUGUAAAACCGUCGGGCGAAAGCUCUACACUGGUUCGAAUCCAGUCCCUACCACCA
rnacentral:tRNA from 1 species